rnacentral:sRNA from 1 species
UCACACUCCUACAUGUGAUGCCUGCUGU